GGGGAUUUAGUUCAGUGGCCAAAACGCCUGCCUGGCAAGCAUGAGGUUGUAAGUUCGAUCCCCG
rnacentral:tRNA from 1 species